AUGCCAGCAAGUUUGGAAAACUCAGCAGUGGCCACAGGACUGGAAAAGGUCAGUUUUCAUUCCAAUUCCAAAGAAAGGAAAUGCCCAAAAAUGCUCAAACUACCGCACAAUUGCACUCAUCUCACAUGCUAUUCAAGUCAUGCUCAAAAUUCUCCAAGCCAGGCUUCAGCAAUACGUGAACUCCCUGAUGUUCAAGCUGGUUUUAGAAAAGGCAUAGGAACCAGAGAUCAAAUUGCCAACAUCUGCUGGAUCAUGGAAAGCGCAAGAGAGUUCCAGAAAAACAUCUAUUUCUGCUUUACUGACUAUGCCAAAGCCUUUGACUGUGUGGAUCACAAUAAACUGUGGAAAAUUCUGAAAGAGAUGGGAAUACCAGACCACCUGACCUGCCUCUUGAGAAAUGUGUAUGCAGGUCAGGAAGCAACAGUUAGAACUGGACAUGGAACAACAGACUGGUUCCAAAUAGGAAAAGGAGUACGUCAAGGCUGUAUAUUGUUACCCUGCUUAUUUAACUUCUAUGCAGAGUACAUCAUGAGAUACGCUGGGCUGGAAGAAACACAAGCUGGAAUCAAGAUUGCCGGGAGAAAUAUCAAUAACCUCAGAUAUGCAGAUGACACCACCCUUAUGGCAGAAAGUGAAGAGGAACUAAAAAGCCUCUUGAUGAAAGUGAAAGAGGAGAGUGAAAAAGUUGGCUUAAAGCUCAACAUUCAGAAAAUGAAGAUCAUGGCAUCCGGUUCCAUCACUUCAUGGCAAGUAGAUGGGGAAACAGUGGAAACAGUGUCAGACGUUAUCUUUUUGGGCUCCAAAAUCACUGCAGAUGGUGACUGCAGGCAUGAAAUUAAAAGACGCUUACUCCUUGGAAGAAAAUUGCCGACUAAGGUCCAUCUAGUCAAGGCUAUGGUUUUUCCUGUGGUCAUGUAUGGAUGUGAGAGUUGGACUGUGAAGAAGGCUGAGUGCCGAAGAAUUGAUGCGUUUGAACUGUGUUGUUGGAGAAGACUCUUGAGGGUCCCUUGGACUGCAAGGAGAUCCAAACAGUCCAUUGUGAAGGAGAUCAGCCCUGGGAUUUCUUUGGAAGGAAUGAUGCUAAAGCUGAAGCUCCAGUACUUUUGA
rnacentral:lncRNA from 1 species